rnacentral:rRNA from 1 species
UGGGUAGCAAACAGGAUUAGAUACCCUGGUAGUCCACGCCGUAAACGAUGAUAACUAGUCGUUAAGGGGGGUUACCCUUUAGUGGUGAAGCUAACGCGUUAAGUUAUCCGCCUGGGGAGUACGGCCGCAAGGUUAAAACUCAAAGGAAUUGACGGGGACCCGCACAAGCGG